rnacentral:rRNA from 1 species
UGGGGAAUAUUGGACAAUGGGCGGAAGCCUGAUCCAGCAACGCCGCGUGAGGGAUGACGGCCUUCGGGUUGUAAACCUCUUUCAGUACCGACGAAGCGAAAGUGACGGUAGGUACAGAAGAAGGACCGGCCAACUACGUGCCAGCAGCCGCGGUAAUACGUAGGGUCCGAGCGUUGUCCGGAAAUUAUUGGGCGUAAAGGGCUCGUAGGCGGUUUGUCGCGUCGGGAGUGAAAACAGCGGGCUUAACUCGUUGCUUGCUUUCGAUACGGGGAGACUAGAGGUAUGCAGGGGAGAAUGGAAUUCCUGGUGUAGCGGUGAAAUGCGCAGAUAUCAGGAGGAACACCGGUGGCGAAGGCGGUUCUCUGGGCAUUACCUGACGCUGAGGAGCGAAAGUGUGGGGAGCGAACAGGAUUAGAUACCCCUGGUAGUCCACACCGUAAAACGUUGGGCGCUAGGUGUGGGGUCCUUUCCACGGAUUCCGUGCCGUAGCUAACGCAUUAAGCGCCCCGCCU